AGCGAACGCUGGCGGCAGGCCUAACACAUGCAAGUCGAACGGAUCCUUCGGGAUUAGUGGCGGACGGGUGAGUAACACGUGGGAACGUGCCCUUUGGUUCGGAACAACUCAGGGAAACUUGAGCUAAUACCGGAUGUGCCCUUCGGGGGAAAGAUUUAUCGCCAUUGGAGCGGCCCGCGUCUGAUUAGCUAGUUGGUGAGGUAACGGCCCACCAAGGCGACGAUCAGUAGCUGGUCUGAGAGGAUGAUCAGCCACACUGGGACUGAGACACGGCCCAGACUCCUACGGGAGGCAGCAGUGGGGAAUCUUGCGCAAUGGGCGAAAGCCUGACGCAGCCAUGCCGCGUGAAUGAUGAAGGUCUUAGGAUUGUAAAAUUCUUUCAGCGGGGACGAUAAUGACGGUACCCGCAGAAGAAGCUCCGGCUAAGUUCGUG
rnacentral:rRNA from 1 species